UAGCGGCCGCGAAUUCGCCCUUAGAGUUUGAUCCUGGCUCAGAUUGAACGCUGGCGGCAGGCUUAACACAUGCAAGUCGAGCGGGGAAAGGUAGCUUGCUACCUGACCUAGCGGCGGACGGGUGAGUAAUGCUUAGGAAUCUGCCUAUUAGUGGGGGACAACGUUCCGAAAGGAACGCUAAUACCGCAUACGUCCUACGGGGGAAAGCAGGGGAUCUUCGGACCUUGCGCUAAUAGAUGAGCCUAAGUCGGAUUAGCUAGUUGGUGGGGUAAAGGCCUACCAAGGCGACGAUCUGUAGCGGGUCUGAGAGGAUGAUCCGCCACACUGGGACUGAGACACGGCCCAGACUCCUACGGGAGGCAGCAGUGGGGAAUAUUGGACAAUGGGCGCAAGCCUGAUCCAGCCAUGCCGCGUGUGUGAAGAAGGCCUUUUGGUUGUAAAGCACUUUAAGCGAGGAGGAGGCUCCUUUAGUUAAUACCUAAAGAGAGUGGACGUUACUCGCAGAAUAAGCACCGGCUAACUCUGUGCCAGCAGCCGCGGUAAUACAGAGGGUGCGAGCGUUAAUCGGAUUUACUGGGCGUAAAGCGUGCGUAGGCGGCUUUUUAAGUCGGAUGUGAAAUCCCUGAGCUUAACUUAGGAAUUGCAUUCGAUACUGGAAAGCUAGAGUAUGGGAGAGGAUGGUAGAAUUCCAGGCGUAGCGGUGAAAUGCGUAGAGAUCUGGAGGAAUACCGAUGGCGAAGGCAGCCAUCUGGCCUAAUACUGACGCUGAGGUACGAAAGCAUGGGGAGCAAACAGGAUUAGAUACCCUGGUAGUCCAUGCCGUAAACGAUGUCUACUAGCCGUUGGGGCCUUUGAGGCUUUAGUGGCGCAGCUAACGCGAUAAG
rnacentral:rRNA from 1 species